GCUGGAGUGCAGUGGCAUAAUCAUGGCUCAUUGCAGCUCGACCUCCCAGGCUCAGGUUAUCCACCUGCCUCGGUCUCCCAAAUGCCAACUGUGGGGGGAAUAAAGUUGCUUAGCAACGUGGAAAUGGGAGAAGCUAUAAGGCUUCCCAGUGUUCAUGCGAUCGUCCCUAUUUCUGUGCCUCUUCCACCUUUCAUCCCAGAGGUAACUGGUGCUGUGAAUUCUGAAAUGUGUCAGACCCACACUGCAGUCUGAAGGCUCUCUCGACCUACGCUUGCUCCAUCUCCCGUUUAUCCUCCAUUUAUGUUUCCUCUAAUAAAUUCUUGCACAUCUAA
rnacentral:antisense_RNA from 1 species